AACGCGAAGAACCUUACCUACCCUUGACAUCCUCGGAACUUGUCAGAGAUGACUUGGUGCCUUCGGGAACCGAGAGACAGGUGCUGCAUGGCUGUCGUCAGCUCGUGUUGUGAAAUGUUGGGUUAAGUCCCGUAACGAGCGCAACCCUUAUCCUUAGUUGCCAGCGAGUAAUGUCGGGAACUCUAGGGAGACUGCCGGUGAUAAACCGGAGGAAGGUGGGGACGACGUCAAGUCAUCAUGGCCCUUAUGGGUAGGGCUACACACGUGCUACAAUGGCCGGUACAGAGGGCAGCGAAACCGUGAGGUCAAGCAAAUCCCACAAAGCCGGUCCCAGUCCGGAUUGCAGUCUGCAACUCGACUGCAUGAAGUCGGAAUCGCUAGUAAUCGCGGAUCAGAAUGCCGCGGUGAAUACGUUCCCGGGUCUUGUACACACCG
rnacentral:rRNA from 1 species